CAACACUCCUCAGAAGACUCCAGCCAAGAACGCUUCAAGGAGUCCAACCAAGAGCCCUUCAAAAAUUCCAGCAAAGUCAU